AACGAACGCUGGCGGCGUGGAUAAGACAUGCAAGUCGAACGGGAUUAUUUUUGUAGCAAUACCGAAAUAAUUCAGUGGCGAACGGGUGCGUAACACGUGGGCAAUCUGCCGAAAAGUGGGGGAUAGCUCGCCGAAAGGCGAAUUAGUACCGCAUGUGGUGAGGGACGACAUCUUCCUGAAUCCAAAGCCGGGGCAACCUGGCGCUUUUGUAGGAGCCCGCGGCCUAUCAGCUUGUUGGCGGGGUAACGGCCCACCAAGGCUAUGACGGGUAGGCUGGUCUGAGAGGACGACCAGUCACACUGGAACUGAGACACGGUCCAGACACCUACGGGUGGCA
rnacentral:rRNA from 1 species